rnacentral:rRNA from 1 species
AGUGAACGCUGGCGGUAGGCCUAACACAUGCAAGUCGAACGGCAGCACAGUAAUAGCUUGCUCUUACGGGUGGCGAGUGGCGGACGGGUGAGGAAUACAUCGGAAUCUACUUUUUCGUGGGGGAUAACGUAGGGAAACUUACGCUAAUACCGCAUACGACCUACGGGUGAAAGCAGGUGAUCUUCGGACCUUGCGCGAUUGAAUGAGCCGAUGUCGGAUUAGCUAGUUGGCGGGGUAAAGGCCCACCAAGGCGACGAUCCGUAGCUGGUCUGAGAGGAUGAUCAGCCACACUGGAACUGAGACACGGUCCAGACUCCUACGGGAGGCAGGAGGGGGGAAUAUUGGACAAUGGGCGCAAGCAUGAUCCAGCCAUACAGCGUGGGUGAAGAAGGCCUUCGGGUUGUAAAGCCCUUUUGUUGGGAAAGAAAAGAAGCAGGUUAAUACCCCGCUGUUCUGACGGUACCCAAAGAAUAAGCACCGGCUAACUUCGU